GGUAACACCUGUGAAGUUGGCGGGCAAUGUCGACACAGCAGAGCUGUUUAAAAGCUAAUUGGGUUUCUCAAGGCACCCAUAUGCAGACUGAGUUGAUGAGCGUGAUCUUUUAUUCAUCAUUAAGCUUUUUAUUCUUGAGCCCGACUGUGAUACGGAAACUAAGACAGCAUGAAGUCCAGGAUUGUGUGUUUUCUGAUGAUUAUUCUUUGCAUCAGUGCCCAAGCAACCAGGUGCCAUGGUAAACACAGUUCUAGCAGUGAGUCGGACAGUGUAGAGACCUCAAUAAACCUGCCUUCACUUAUCUGCACUCUGUUUCCGACUCUGUGUUCCCAAAAGACCACGACAACAACUACCGCCACAACAACAACAACAACAAAGGCAACCACGGUUCCAGUCACCCCCAGAGGAGACAAUCCAUAAGCUACAGCCUCUAAAAUGAAUCCAACAUGAGGAAUAUUUAGCAAGAUGGGAAAAAUGUAUUUACUUUGAUUUGCAAUAAGAUCAAUAAAAUGGUGCUUUGUUUUGGUGAGGCCAUUGGCAAAACCAGAAUCGAAAAGCAUCAUAGGGAGACUGGUCCCACCAAAGAGCAGACUCUGACAACUCACCAGUGUAACAUCCACUCAGUAAACUCACACAGACAAGCCUGAAUGCUGACUGCUUAAGAAAAGGGACGAGCGUAAGCUGCUAAAAGCCAGACUCUGCCAAGUCUGUCGUAUUGCGCUCCUGAAUCACCCUUUUUGAUUCAUUCUUCUGCACUGCAGAUUCCAAAGACUUUGACUGAAAUAUUUUAUGUUUUUUUCUAAUCAAUUACUUUAUGUUUGAUGUAAUUUGAUGUGCCUCAACACUGUAUUAUCAAAAAUCUUGAUUUUGAAUGUACUUUUUUGCUAUACUUUUUUAAAAAUCUUCAUUAUUUUUCUGAACUCAUAUAUAUUUUUUUCUAAUUAUGACUGUACUGACUGAUCUUUUGUGUGCUGCAGGUGAAGUGUUAUGGUUCUAAUACAAUCAAAUAAAAUGAACAAGAGAUUUGCAAAGAUCAAAUUUAGUUACAGUUUUAAUAUGAGAAUGUGAACAUAUCUUGUGAAAGCUUUCUUAUAUUUCUCAAUGAUCUCACUGAUUACAACAAGUUUAAGAAGCUCCAUGUUCUCCGCUAUGGGAGCCACAUCAACAGCAAAUGGUGUUUUCCACAGAUUUACAGAAACACAAGCAGUUCCUGAUUAUACACACUGAGUCAAUCACAGUUUCCCCUUUCCAAUCGUAGCUAAAACAAAAACACACUAGAAGAUCAUAAGAGGAGCCUGAGAAGA